rnacentral:rRNA from 1 species
AUCGGGAUUACUGGGCGUAAAGCGUGCGCAGGCGGCGCGUUAAGACAGGUGUGAAAGCCCCGAGCUUAACUUGGGAAUUGCGCUUGUGACUGGCGAGCUGGAGUGUGGCAGAGGGAGGUGGAAUUCCACGUGUAGCAGUGAAAUGCGUAGAGAUGUGGAGGAACACCGAUGGCGAAGGCAGCCUCCUGGGCCAGCACUGACGCUCAUGCACGAAAGCGUGGGGAGCAAACAGG